GAUGAACGCUAGCUACAGGCUUAACACAUGCAAGUCGAGCGGUUUGUGCUUUUGCACAUUCAGCGGCAGACGGGUGAGUAACACGUAUCUAACCUUCCCCUUACUUGGGCAUAGCCUCUGGAAACGGAGAUUAAUUUCCGAUGUGGUGUACAUUUCGCAUGUUUUGCGCACCAAAGAUUUAUCGGUAAGGGAUGGGGAUGCGCUCCAUUAGGUAGUAGGUAGGGUAAUGGCCUACCUAGCCUAUGAUGGAUAGGGGUUCUGAGAGGAAGGUCCUCCACAUUGGAACUGCGACACGGUCCAAACUCCUACGGGAGGCAGCAGUGAGGAAUAUUGGUCAAUGGCCGGAAGGCUGAACCAGCCAAGUAGCGUGCAGGAAGACGGCCCUAUGGGUUGUAAACUGCUUUUCCAGGGAGAGAAACUUACGCACGUGUUGCGUGACUGACGGUACCCUGGGAAUAAGCAUCGGCUAACUCCGUG
rnacentral:rRNA from 1 species